rnacentral:rRNA from 1 species
UACGGGGGGGCAAGCGUUGUUCGGAAUUAUUGGGCGUAAAGCGCGACGUAGGCGGUUACUCAAGUCGGAUGUGAAAGCCCUCGGCCUAACCGAGGAACUGCGUUUGAAACUGUCGGCUCGAGUCGGAGAGGGUAGUGGAAUUCCCGAGUGUAGCGGUGAAUGACGUAGAUAUUGGGAGGAACACCGGUGGCGAAGGCGGCUACCUGGACCGGUACUGACGCUGAUGCGCGAAAGCCGAGGGAGG